ACACAGGUGCUGCAUGGCUGUCGUCAGCUCGUGUCGUGAGAUGUUGGUUAAGUCCCGCAACGAGCGCAACCCUUGCCAUCAGUUGCUACGAAAGGGCACUCUGAUGGGACUGCCGGUGACAAACCGGAGGAAGGUGGGGAUGACGUCAAGUCCUCAUGGCCCUUAUAGGUGGGGCUACACACGUCAUACAAUGGCCGGUACAAAGGGCAGCAAACCCGCAGGGGGAGCCAAUCCAUCAAAGCCGGUCGUAGUCCGGAUCGCAGUCUGCAACUCGACUGCGUGAAGUCGGAAUCGCUAGUAAUCGUGGAUCAGCAUGUCACGGUGAAUACGUUCCCGGGUCUU
rnacentral:rRNA from 1 species